GCUACGAAAGUCUGCUACAGUCAGUUGUUCUCCGAAGGAAAGCCAAGCAAAGAAACCACCAAAACUCAUUUGUCCUGAAGAAAUAUUAAUCUUUUCAGAUUACAAGGAUUGCUCUGCUGACUGAAGAGGGACUUCUUGAAUCUCUCAAUGACUCUCCUUUUCAAGUUGCACUGCAAAGCUGGAGGAAGCUACACGACACAGAGAAACAGAUGUUUUCACCACCCAAUUACACUUCCCAUAAACUGCUAAUCAGCAGUACCAUUACUGAGAAAGUAGCUACAGUGCAAGAAGAAACAUUAAUGCUUAACAGCCUGGUAAUAGGCAACAGUACAAAACCUGAUUUAAAUAUAUAUUAAAAUAAUUCUCCUUAGAUCGUUGAUUCUGUUAGGCUUGGCAGAUUAUACAACUUAGUCCUUCUGGACUCAGAGAUCAGUCUGGCUCUUGUUCCCAUGGAAACUGGACUGGGAAGGCUGCUUUGAUUGCCAAGAACUAACAGCAAAGAACUCUGCCUUGUAAAGUUCAGUUUCAAAUUGUCAGCUGAAAUAUGUAAUUGGGAGUUGUAGAAACAACUAUGUAUUAUAAAAAAUAUUCCACCUUAUAUCUGCAAGAAUCUAAGCAUUCAAAAAGCCAUUGCACACAGGAACAAGUAGAGAUUUGGAUCCUGGUACCCCUACCUUCUAACUCUGAGACCAACUGUCACUGAAAGGUGCUACCACUGCCUCAGUGGCCAAUCUAGAUAGAGAGCCUUUGAGUUACUCUUAGUUCUCAGUUACAAGAACUGGCAUUGACGAGUAGGACACUAGAGAAAAUCUUCUUCACGAUAGAGGGUAAGUUCAUUAAUAUGCAUCAGGCACAAACAAGUAAUAUAGUAAUACAAUAAUACAGCACAUAAAGUCUGAACUGCCUCAUUUCAGUUAGCAGGAAAUGGGCUUACUAUUGCAAUAACUUAUGCCAA